CCUUCCAUGCCACAGUCUAUGAAGCUUGUGGAAUGAUACAUAGAAGAUUAGGAUGACCCUUCGGCAAGAUGACACGCACAAAUCGAGAAAUGAUCCUAAUUUUU
rnacentral:snRNA from 1 species